GACGAACGCUGGCGGCGUGCUUAACACAUGCAAGUCGAACGGUAAGGCCCUUCGGGGUACACGAGUGGCGAACGGGUGAGUAACACGUGGGUGAUCUGCCCUGCACUUCGGGAUAAGCCUGGGAAACUGGGUCUAAUACCGGAUAGGACUCCUGGCUUCAUGGUUGGGGGUGGAAAGCUUUUGCGGUGUGGGAUGGGCCCGCGGCCUUUCAGCUUGUUGGGGGGGUAAUGGCCUACCAAGGCGACGACGGGUAGCCGGCCUGAGAGGGUGACCGGUCACACUGGGACCGAGAGACGGCCCAGACUCCUACGGGAGGCAGCAGUGGGGAAUAUUGCACAAUGGGCGCAAGCCUGAUGCAGCGACGCCGCGUGAGGGAUGACGGCCUUCGGGUUGUAAACCUCUUUCAGCUAUGACGAAGCGCAAGUGACGGUAGUAGCAGAAGAAGGACCGGCCAACUACGUGCCAGCAGCCGCCGCCG
rnacentral:rRNA from 1 species